UUCCAGACUCCUAGGGAGGCAGCAGUGGGGAAUAUUGCACAAUGGGGGAAACCCUGAUGCAGCAACGCCGCGUGAGUGAGGAAGUAUUUCGGUAUGUAAAGCUCUAUCAGCAGGGAAUAGAAAAGAAGGUACCUGAAAAAGAAGCCCCGGCUAACUCCGUGCCAGCAGCCGCGGUAAUACGGAGGAUGCGAGCGUUAUCCGGAUUUAUUGGGUUUAAAGGGUGCGUAGGCGGGCUUUUAAGUCAGCGGUAAAAAUUCGGGGCUCAACCCCGUCCGGCCGUUGAAACUGGGGGCCUUGAGUGGGCGAGAAGAAGGCGGAAUGCGUGGUGUAGCGGUGAAAUGCAUAGAUAUCACGCAGAACCCCGAUUGCGAAGGCAGCCUUCCGGCGCCCUACUGACGCUGAGGCACGAAAGUGCGGGGAUCGAACAGGAUUAGAUACCCUUGUA
rnacentral:rRNA from 1 species